GGCUUAGUGGCUCAGUUGGUUAGAGCGCUACCAUCAAAUGAUAGUGUCGCUGGUUCGAAUCCUGCCUAAGCCA